GGAAGAUUGGCUGAGUGGUUUAAAGCAACGGUUUACUAAACCGUCGUAGGGGUAACUCUACCGUGGGUUCGAAUCCUACAUCUUCCGCCA
rnacentral:tRNA from 1 species